CACUGAGGGCAGGGCACAGUGGGCACGGCAGUGAGGGCAGGGCACUGAGGGCAAUUUGGGCAGGGCACAGCGGGCAGGUGAGUGAGGGCAGCCUGGGCAAGCAGGGAGGGCAGGCAGAGCCGUGCGGGCAGUCUGACAUUGGAGAGAGGACAGGCAGAGCCGUGCAGGCAAGUUGGCACUUAGGGCACUGAAGGAAGGACAGGCAGAGCCGUGCAGGCAGGUUGGCACCGAAGGGAGGGCGGGUUGGCACUGAAGGAAGGGCAGUCCGAGCCGUGCGGGCAGCCUGGCACUCAGGGCACUGAAGGGAGGGCAGGCAGAGCCGUGCGGGCAGGUUGGCACUGAAGGAAGGGCAGGCAGAGCAGUCCGGGCAGCCUGGCAUUGGAGAGAGGGCAGGCAGAGCCAUGCAGGCAGGUUGGCACCAAAGGAAGGGCAAGAAGAGCCGUGCGGGCAGGUUGGCACUGAAGGGAGGACAGGCAGAGCCGUGCAGGCAUCCUGGCACUCAGGGCACUGAAGGAAGGGCAGGCAGAGCCGGGCGGGCAGCCUGGCACGCCGGGCACCGAGGGGAGGACAGGCAGAGCCGUGCGGGCAGGUUGGCACUGAAGAGAGGGCAGGCAAAGCCGUGAGGGCACCCUGGCACGCCGGGCACCGAAGGAAGGGCAGCGGUCCAGGCUGGCGGGCAGCACAGGCAGCACCCGCCGGGCACCGGGCGCAUCCAGGUGCGUGAAGAAGCCGGGGUGAGGAAAACGGGAGGCCGGGUCCUGCUCCCCCGGCCGAGCAUCGCCCACCCACCCCCGCCCCGCCGAGCCCCCGCAGCCUCCCGCGCCGCGCGGGGCCGGCCCCGCACAGCCGGACAAACAAUGUGAGACUUGGCGGAACAAAAGCGGCGGGGCUUGGGUUGCUGAACACGUCUGAGGCCAGACGAGCCGCGCGAUUUAUUGGACUCGGAGAGCCCCGGCUCUGGACCCCGUGCCCACCGAGGAGCAGCCGCUGGCCCAGCCCGAGGCCCGUCCUGCCGCAGCUCCGGGGAUGCCCAGGACACCAGGCUGGACGUGGGCUCACCCUACCUGCUGCUCAUUUUCUGACUCACAAAUUGUCUCUGGCCCUGGUGAGAUUUCAUGAGAACACCCUGCUCAGAUUGGCUCAGGAGUGGGGGUUAUAAGGAAAACCCCACCCUCCAAAAACCACGAGGAGCUGCCAGCAGGACCUUGUCUAGAGGGACCCUCAGCAGAAGCCCCUCACCACGGCUGAUCCCACCUCAUCCUCCUCCUCCUCCUCUCCUGCUCUGCUGGCAGACCCUGGCCUGGAGCACGAUGUGGAUCCUGAUUUACACCAGUGCCUGUCCAGGCUGACCAGGGCUGCUGACCAGCACCGGGCCUCGGCGUGGGGACACAGCACCAACACAGGCACAGCCAGGGUGCAGAGGACACCAGGACAUGCCCACCCUGCCCACUCCCCUGUGGGGCACUCGCUGGUGAAGAACAUAAUGCUGGAAGAAUAGGAAAAAUUAGGAAAAAAAAAGAAGAAAAGAAAGAAAAAGAGUCUCCAACCCCAGGAAAUCUGUGUUAAUUGCUUAUGAAUGUCUCUGUCUAAAAAAUUAUCGAAUUGAUGUUGUCGUGCUUUUUUUUGACAGCCUGUCUGUUACAUUUUUUUAAAAUAUUCAUGCACCGAAAUCUAAUUACUAGGCAAAUUUAAUGAUAAUGAAAUGAAGGCACUUUAGCAGAAAGCAUAGGGCCUUGUUAAUGUUUUCUCAGCCUCUGUCUUGUUCAUAUUUUUAAAAUUAUUUUUUUUACAACUGUCUUUCUUGCAUAUGAAAAAAAAAAAACGAUUGCUGAAAAUAAAACUCAGAUUGCCGAUAA